UGAUAGCGAAGAAGCGCGAGGUUGCUGCAUGAAAAAACGUAAGGUUUUGUGCAGGUUUUCCGUGGAGCGAAUGUCAAGUUAUUGAAAACUGGCGACAA
rnacentral:ncRNA from 1 species